UAAGGGAUAUUGCGACAAUGGGCGAGAGCCUGACGCAGCAACGCCGCGUGCGGGAGGAAGGCCUUCGGGUUGUAAACCGCUUUUGAGGGGGAAGAGGAAGGACGGUACCCUUCGAAUAAGUCUCGGCUAACUACGUGCCAGCAGCCGCGGUAAAACGUAGGAGGCGAGCGUUAUCCGGAUUUACUGGGUGUAAAGCGCGUGCAGGCGGUGGGACAAGUUGACUGUGAAAGCGCCCGGCUCAACCGGGCAAGGACAGUUAAGACUGUUUUGCUGGAGGCAGGUAGAGGGGUGUGGAAUUCCGGGUGUAGUGGUGAAAUGCGUAGAGAUCCGGAGGAACACCAGUGGCGAAGGCGACACACUGGGCCUGGCCUGACGCUCAGACGCGAAAGCAUGGGGAGCGAACGG
rnacentral:rRNA from 1 species